GGACGAGAAACCCGGUUAAGAGCGCGAAAACAUUCCAGAACUUGUAGCUAAACGGUGGUUUGCUCUUGCAGGACAGUGACGGAUCCUUAGGACGGGCGCAAGAGUCAGCCAUUAGCAAGAAAAGGGUUGCUCCGAGGUUGAAAAUGCAGUCCAAACCGAUCAAUGAAAGCACGCUAACCACGUUGGAACCGACGAAAACCGAUGAUAAUGGUAGCCACAGUGUAGGUGCCAUGCCGCUUGUGAGUAGAACAGAUGGACCUAAAAGCCAUAUCGGCCAUUUAAAAACCUGAGCUUGCUGGUGAGAGUUAGUAGUAGUCUGCUCCUCCUCUGCAGAUUCUGAUACAAUAGAAUCGAACACAUUUGAGGUUUUCUCUAAUACUAUGUUACCAGCUUCUUGUGCAGAGGAACGGAUGAAAGGAGAUGGUUCCCACUGAGACAUCUUUGUGCAUAAGACACGGAGAUGAUGAGAAGAGCCGGUCUUUAGGUUGUGUAUCAUCUUGGGGUUCUUGAGACCUACGUUGCACGGAAGCUUCAUCGGACGUCCGAUUCCCGCUUCGGAACCGGAAUCGGAAUCGGAAUCUUGUGGAAGCUUACGGAAUCUCGCUUCCAAAACGCUUCUAAAAUAUUCUCUUUAAAAACACAUUGGAAGCUUACGAUUCCGUUUUGGAACCACGCUUCCAUUUAAAAAAAAACAUAAUGUCUUAUAUCAAUAAGAAUAUAAAAUUAUAGUUUUUAAUUUAUAUAUAGUCCAAAUUUUAAUAGUAUUGAAUGGAGAGAAUAGAAAUAUACAAAUAUUAAAACUAAUACUAUAAAUUAUCUUUAUGCAUUGAGGUUUUUAUUAAAGAUAAAUCAUAUAUUCAAAUAUAUUAUGUCAAUUAAUUAUAAAGAAUUACAAAAAUAUAAUAUUAUUUAUUUAAUUUAAUUUAUGUGUAUUUUCACAGUUUAAAUAUGAAGUCAUUUCAAAAUUAUUAUAAAUGAAUAAAUGCUUUAUUUUAAAUUUAAAUCAUAUAAUUUUUAGUUUUAGAUUUUUUAAAAUAAUCUUACAUAUGUAUAUAUAUUCCAAUUUUUAAUUUGUAGUCUUACAUAUAUAUAUAUAUAUAUAUGGAUAUGCUUCCAACACGUAUCCGCUUCCUAAUUUUUUAAAAAAUCUCGCUUCUGCGCUUCCAUACGUUUCCGCUUCCACGUACCCGCUUCCGUUUCCAUGUAACAUAGGUUCUGACUGGAAAAUGAGUUAAACAAAGAAAAGUCUGUUUCUUUUUUCUUCGUGCUGGCGUGUCCGAGGUGGUUGGUUAUGUCCUCUUCAUAAUGUAUCCCAAAAUUAGACCAAUUAGUCCGACCAGGAGAACGUACAUCAAAGGGAUACCACUUUGGCUUCUCUUGCUGUCACGCCUUAACUGGUCCUGCACAUCAACCAAAUCCUUUUCAGACGAAGGAAGCCUUUGGAACAUGUUUUGGUUUGAUACUCUUUAAGGUUAGAUAGAUCAACUAUCUUCAUUCAAAGGGUUCAAGAGAAAGUUGUUUACCAGUUCUCUUUGAAGUUUGUUGUUAAGUUGAAUGGCAGACUGUUUUUCCUCGGUUAGCUUUGUGAUGAGAGCCCUUGCCUGCAAUCACACAAAACUCAGCUCUUACUAGAUAACAUUGUAGAACAACUUGACUUUCCUAGUACCUGGUGUCAAGUUAGAGCUAGUGGAUUGAAUGCAGAUUAAAAAUAUGCAGAAAACAUCAACAAAGUAAUAAAUAAGUAAUGGGCAGCUUAAUGAUUUGGCUGGAUUCUAAAAGUGAAAUGAACCUUUUAAGUAAUCAAGAAAAAAAAAUUAAAGAUUCUCAACCUAAUACAUCAACUGUUAAAGAUAACUUUCCAAAAAAAGUAGUUCCCAAGUUCUAACUAAUGGCCAUUUUUAACAGAGCAAAGACAAGAACACUAACAUUGAUGGUUGAAAAGAGCUUAUAAGAAUUGUAAAAAAAUACCUCAGGUGUGUUUUCUUGAGGUUCAACCUUGUCCGCGCUAGAUCUCUGAAACUAAAACCAAACACACAUGAGAAUCCAUCUACACUAAACUAAAAGAAGAAAUGUUAUAUCUUAGCACUGAAAAAGAUGUACUACUGACAGAAAAUUCAGAAGCCUGUCCUCCGUUAUCAGAAACAGAAGCCCUUGGUGAAGAACCCUCUUCAGAACCUUCGUGAACAGGUGAUGGUGGUUGCGGUGGAGCAACAUAAGUAACUCUCAGCUUAGUCUCCUCAACCAGAUACCCAGCCUCUUUGCUAAACUGCAAAUUUUCAUUAUAGAUUAAUCAAUUAUCCUUACAAAAAAUAAAUUAAAAAAAGGGAAAUGAAGUAGUAGUACCAUCUCAGGAGUAACAUCCUUGGCCGUGACACCAGGACUAGCAGUUACACCCUGGAGCAGAAACUUGUCCUUGCACUGCAUAUCCGAAGGAGCUUCCUUUUGAGCUUGCAUUGUCACUACACAAAACACCAAAACAAAAGAAUAAAUAUAUCGAAAGGAGCUUUAUUCUUCUUCACGAGAGAGAGAACAACGAACCAAGAACUUCACAAGUGGACCGUGGAAGAACAACUCCAGUGUUAGGCCUAACGCAAUACUUCUUCGGAUUCGUUGUCUUAACCUUUAAAAAAAAAACGAGAAGCGAAACACGAGAUCAAAAACAACACAAACCACAAUCUGGAAAUGUUAGUAAUAUAAUAUAAUCACACCUUAAAGGCGACAUGAUUGUCGGUCUUGUUGGUCAAGUACAGAGAGCAUGAGAUCUGCUUCCUCAAUUCAACUACAUCAUAGAAGAACAAGAUCACGAUUAAUCAUCAUUAACACCGUAACUCAGAGAGGAAAGAUCUAGAUCUGGUCCCGAUAAGAAGAGAGACAUGUCCGAAAAGAAGCUUACAUGGGAAUUGAAGGUCGAGAGGCUCGACGGAGAGAAGCUCGCUGUUACUCAUCCCGAUCAAGAUCGCCGGAGAUUCUUCCCGUGACCGGUUCACAGAGAGAGAGAGAGAGACCAGUCCGUCGAUCAAGAGAGAGAGAGAGAGGGACAUCGCUAUUUGUCUUGUUCUGUCUCAAGGGUAUUAUAGUCUUUUCAACGAUGUUAUUUUUAAAUAAGGAGCGUUUGUCACGUGGCUCUCACGUGUCAAAGCCAGUCGCAUCUUCGGUACGUUUGCUGUUAUGUUCGUUUUUCUUUUUCCUUCCCGCUUCUUCUCCCUAAACAGAAGGGAUGGUCCAAAGAGCUUAGAGCAUCUCUAACCCCACUCCAUAUUUUACUCUAAAAUGGAAAAAAUGAAGUGAGAAAUGGAGUGAUAAUCCUUUUAUUUUUUGUUCAUUACUCCAUUUCCCACUCUAUUUUCUCAAUUUUGAAGUAAAAUAUGGAGUGGAGUUGGAAAUGCCCUUAGUAAUAAUUGAACUACGGCAAUGAAAUAACUAUCUAUCUUUACUUAGAAGCAAUAGAUUCUGCUUGAUGCAUACAGAUGAAUAUAAAAAAUAUGUUUUUGCUAUUAUCACCAACAAUAAAAACUAUAUAAUAAAAUAGUUACAUAUCCUUUUGGAAGAAACAUAACUAUCUAUCUUUACUUAGAAGUAACAGAUGAUUCUGGUUGCUGAUUAGUUGCUGUUGUUCGAGAUGUAUACCCAGCAAACCAAGCAACUCUCAUGAGCUGCAUCCCCAAUAUCAACACCCACCAAGACACAAGCCCACGUAUCAUAUGAACCACCCAAACCGGCGCGUUCACCUCCGCGCUUAGCUUCAACCCUCUCAUCAGCUGCAAAACCCGGUACGCCUCGUAGACAACCGGCGUCACUAGCCACACCGGUGACUGCCAACUCCACGUGAGGAUCUCCGUCAACGUCUGCACCGCGAGGAGGAUGAAGUACGGCAAGAGGAGAACAGCUGAGGAGAUAAAAGGAAGCUCCGGUUGAAGCGAACCGAGUAAACCGGUUUGGGAUCCGAAGAGGAGUAGCGUUGGGACGAGAAACCCGGUUAAGAGCGCGAAAACAUUCCAGAACUUGUAGCUAAACGGUGGUUUGCUCUUGCAGGACAGUGACGGAUCCUUAGGACGGGCGCAAGAGUCAGCCAUUAGCAAGAAAAGGGUUGCUCCGAGGUUGAAAAUGCAGUCCAAACCGAUCAAUGAAAGCACGCUAACCACGUUGGAACCGACGAAAACCGAUGAUAAUGGUAGCCACAGUGUAGGUGCCAUGCCGCUUGUGAGUAGAACAGAUGGACCUAAAAGCCAUAUCGGCCAUUUAAAAACCUGAGCUUGCUGGUGAGAGUUAGUAGUAGUCUGCUCCUCCUCUGCAGAUUCUGAUACAAUAGAAUCGAACACAUUUGAGGUUUUCUCUAAUACUAUGUUACCAGCUUCUUGUGCAGAGGAACGGAUGAAAGGAGAUGGUUCCCACUGAGACAUCUUUGUGCAUAAGACACGGAGAUGAUGAGAAGAGCCGGUCUUUAG
rnacentral:lncRNA from 1 species